GCGAGAAAAAAAAACUAUAUAUAUAUAUAUUAUUAUAUAUUUAUGUAGAACUAUAUAUAUAUAUAUAUAUAAAUUAAUUGCCAGCAGCACUGCAGCGAUAUGAUGGUUAGUCAGAAGCUGUCAGGAGAAACAGUGCAACACAAGCCAGAAUGGGGAAACCUUUUGCUACUAGUUUUUGGCUUGAGAAUGAGAGACCGUUCUCUUUUUAUAUAUGAUAUGGAAAAAUGCUUGCUUUGUCACUGAUCGUUCACAAGCAUGAAUGUUUUUAAACCUGGGUUUCUUUCACUAGCCCUUAGAAAGAGCCCAAUAUUAUCUAGCAGAGCUCAGACACUCUCUUUCUAUAAAGCAAGCGGUGAAGAGCCUCUUUCUCAGUCUUCAUAUAUUUCAGUAAGUUUUGCAUCUCUGUUAGACAACUGUUUUGAUGUUUCUUCAUUGAGAAAGCUCCAUGCUUGCAUUUUUGUUUAUGGGCUCGGUACCGGCAUUUUUGUGGGCUCUAAGCUUUUGAAUUGCUACGCUAAGUUUGGCCUUUUAGCUGAGUCUGGGCGGGUUUUUGAUAGAAUCAUCAAUCGAAACCUUUCUCUUUGGAAUUCAAUCCUUGUUGGGUAUUUCAGAACCGGUCACUUCGAUGAAGUUCUUAGGCGGUAUUUGAAUUUGAAGGAAUGGAAGAUUGGGUUGGAUAGUUCGGCCAUUACAUUUACUUUGAAAAGCUGUAUUGAUUUGAGAAAUUUAGAAUUUGGGAAAGGAGUUCAUUCAGAUGCUUACAAAUUCGGGUUCAAUGCAGAUGGAUUUGUGGGGUCGUCACUCGUUGGUAUGUAUACAAGAUAUGGAGAUACUGAGAGUGCAUCCAGUGUGUUUGAUGAAGUGACUAACAGAGAUAUUGUUGUUUAUACUUCGAUGAUUACUGGGUAUGCUCAGCUUGGCAAUCACCGUGCUUAUGAGGCUUUCAGGGUUGCACGCCAGAUGCAGACGGAACAUUUAGAACCCAAUAGGGUCACUCUCGUGAGCUUACUUCAAGCGGCAUCUAGCUUGAAAGCACUAGAAGAUGGCCGUGCUGUCCAUGGCUAUGCUGUUAGAAGAGGAAUUGGUAGUUCAGAUGAAGUUUUCCAAACGACUCUCAUGACCAUGUAUAGCAAAUGUGGCGCCCCUUGGACGGCUACUUGCAUCUUUGACAAAAUGGAUAGAACGGUUGGUUCUUGGAAUGCUAUGAUUUCUGGUCAUCUUGAGAUGGGGCAACACUUAACGGCUUUCAAACUUUUCUAUCAAAUGAUGAAGGAAAAACUUAUGCUUGAUUUAGUAACUCUAGCCAACGGGAUUCUGUGUUGUGCUAACUUGAAUUGUUUGCUUCCGGGAAAGAGUAUCCAUGGGUACAUUAUCCGAUUUAAUAUCCAACUUGAUAUGAUAGCCACUACUGCUCUGAUAGAAAUGUACUCUAAAUGCAAGAACUUGAUGCAAGCCAGGGAAUUGUUUAAUAGAAUGGAAAAGAGGGAUGCUGUAUCAUAUGAUGUGAUGAUGGCUGGCUACCUCCAUAAUGACUUUGUUUGUGAAGCUAUAGAGACUUUUGCUGAAAUGAUUGGAAAUGGUACUAAACCUAACCUAGGUUCCAUUCUGGGUGUAUUUUCUGCAUCGUCUGACUUGAAAGAUAUAAAAAAAGGUAAGAGCAUCCAUGGAUAUGUGUUAAGACAUGGAUUUGACUUGAAUGCCGAAAUUGCCAAUAAAAUCAUUUACAUGUAUGCAAAAUGUGGUUGUAUAACCAUCGCCAGGCAAGUAUUCAACAGGACAAGAUAUAAGGACCUGGUAUCAUGGACUUCAAUGAUGAUGGGUUAUGUUUAUCAUGGGCAUUCUGAUGAAGCCAUAAUCCUGUUCCGACUGAUGCAAAGACAAAAUCUUGAUUAUGAUUCAGUUACUCUGAUAACUUUACUUCAGGCAUUCUCUCAGCUUGGAUGUCUGAUUCCUGCAAAAGAAGUUCACUGUCACUUAUAUCGAGCUGUUUUGGAGAGUGAAUUACCUGUUAUCAAUUCUCUGAUUGCUGCUUAUUCCAAGUGUGGGAGGUUAGAUAUGGCUCGAAAUCUUUUUGAGCACACACCUGAACGGUGUCUGACAUCAUGGAACACAAUGAUAGGUGCGUAUGGAAUGCACGGGAAAUGUAUCGAGGCACUGAUGCUAUUUGACCGAAUGAAAAAGGAAAGGGUUGAUCCUGAUGUAGUAACCUUCACAUCAAUUCUCUCUGCUUGCAGUCAUUCAGGCAUGAUAAAUAAGGGUGUACAAGCUUUCAGAUCCAUGGUAGAAGAGUAUUCUAUAGUUCCAUGUGAAGAGCAUUAUGGUUGUGUGGUAGAUUUAUUAAGCCGAGCUGGACAGCUUGAAGAAGCAUAUAAUCUGGUUAAGUGCCUGCCAUCAAGGCUUAGUACUUCUGCUGUUGCCUCUCUGCUUGCUGCUUGCAGGGUUCAUAAAAACACAGGGAUGGGUGAGCUCAUAGCAACGCGCUUCUUGGAUUUACAAUCUGAGAGCUCAAGUGCUUAUGCCAUGGUGUCAAAUUUAUAUGCAGAAAGUGGAAAGUGGGAAGAUGUAGCCCGAAUAAGAACCAUGCUGAAGGAGAGAGGUCUCAAAAGGACUCCUGGGUAUAGUUUAAUAGAGCAGCAUGGUCAGGUUUUCCAGAUCUGAACAAAUGAGCGGCGGAUCGCAGGUCACAGAGUUUUUUCUUUUCUUCCCCCUUCUGUAGAUAAGGUGUUUUCUUCCCCCUUCUGUAGAUAAGGUGUUACAGAUUCCUGGGCCUCCUCCUCCCAAAGGGCCAACUAUAGAACACCAGAAGAAUAUUGGUCUUCAUGCUGUAAAGCUACCUUCAGCAGAUUCAAUUGUUGUUCGAAGAACACUUGCCACGCUGACUGAAAACCCGGAUGGU